UACAGAGGUCCCAAGCGUUGUUCGGAUUCAUUGGGCGUAAAGGGUGCGUAGGUGGCAUGGUUAGUCGGGUGUGAAAUCCCGGGGCUCAACCCCGGAACUGCACUCGAUACUGCCGUGCUCGAGUACUGGAGAGGAGACUGGAAUUUACGGUGUAGCAGUGAAAUGCGUAGAUAUCGUAAGGAAGACCGGUGGCGAAAGCUAGUCUCUGGACAGUCACUGACACUGAGGCACGAAGGCCAGGGGAGCAAACGGG
rnacentral:rRNA from 2 species